UGUGGUUAAUUCGAAGCAACGCGAAGAACCUUACCAGGUCUUGACAUCCCUGACAACCCGAGAGAUCGGGCGUUCCCCUCGGGGGACAGGGUGACAGGUGGUGCAUGGUUGUCGUCAGCUCGUGUCGUGAGAUGUUGGGUUAAGUCCCGCAACGAGCGCAACCCUCGACCUUAGUUGCCAGCAUUCAGUUGGGCACUCUAAGGUGACUGCCGGCUAAAAGUCGGAGGAAGGUGGGGAUGACGUCAAAUCAUCACGCCCCUUAUGACCUGGGCUACACACGUGCUACAAUGGGCGGUAUAAAGGGUCGCGAACCCGCGAGGGGGAGCCAAUCCCAAAAAGCCGCUCUCAGUUCGGAUUGUAGGCUGCAAUUCGCCUACAUGAAGCUGGAAUUGCUAGUAAUCGCAGAUCAGCUACGCUGCGGUGAAUACGUUCUCGGGCCUU
rnacentral:rRNA from 1 species